CUUAACACAUGCAAGUCGAGGGGCAGCAUGGUCUUAGCUUGCUAAGGCCGAUGGCGACCGGCGCACGGGUGAGUAACACGUAUCCAACCUGCCGUCUACUCUUGGACAGCCUUCUGAAAGGAAGAUUAAUACAAGAUGGCAUCAUGAGUCCGCAUGUUCACAUGAUUAAAGGUAUUCCGGUAGACGAUGGGGAUGCGUUCCAUUAGAUAGUAGGCGGGGUAACGGCCCACCUAGUCUUCGAUGGAUAGGGGUUCUGAGAGGAAGGUCCCCCACAUUGGAACUGAGACACGGUCCAAACUCCUACGGGAGGCAGCAGUGAGGAAUAUUGGUCAAUGGGCGAGAGCCUGAACCAGCCAAGUAGCGUGAAGGAUGACUGCCCUAUGGGUUGUAAACUUCUUUUAUAAAGGAAUAAAGUCGGGUAUGCAUACCCGUUUGCAUGUACUUUAUGAAUAAGGAUCGGCUAACUCCGUGCCAGCAGCCGCGGUAAUACGGAGGAUCCGAGCGUUAUCCGGAUUUAUUGGGUUUAAAGGGAGCGUAGAUGGAUGUUUAAGUCAGUUGUGAAAGUUUGCGGCUCAACCGUAAAAUUGCAGUUGAUACUGGAUAUCUUGAGUGCAGUUGAGGCAGGCGGAAUUCGUGGUGUAGCGGUGAAAUGCUUAGAUAUCACGAAGAACUCCGAUUGCGAAGGCAGCCUGCUAAGCUGCAACUGACAUUGAGGCUCGAAAGUGUGGGUAUCAAACAGGAUUAGAUACCCUGGUAGUCCACACGGUAAACGAUGAAUACUCGCUGUUUGCGAUAUACAGCAAGCGGCCAAGCGAAAGCGUUAAGUAUUCCACCUGGGGAGUACGCCGGCAACGGUGAAACUCAA
rnacentral:rRNA from 1 species